rnacentral:rRNA from 1 species
GACGAACGCUGGCGGCGUGCCUAAUACAUGCAAGUUGAGCGCUGAAGGUUGGUACUUGUACCAACUGGAUGAGCAGCGAACGGGUGAGUAACGCGUGGGGAAUCUGCCUUUGAGCGGGGGACAACAUUUGGAAACGAAUGCUAAUACCGCAUAAAACUUUAAACACAAGUUUUAAGUUUGAAAGAUGCAAUUGCAUCACUCAAAGAUGAUCCCGCGUUGUAUUAGCUAGUUGGUGAGGUAAAGGCUCACCAAGGCGAUGAUACAUAGCCGACCUGAGAGGGUGAUCGGCCACAUUGGGACUGAGACACGGCCCAAACUCCUACGGGAGGCAGCAGUAGGGAAUCUUCGGCAAUGGACGAAAGUCUGACCGAGCAACGCCGCGUGAGUGAAGAAGGUUUUCGGAUCGUAAAACUCUGUUGGUAGAGAAGAACGUUGGUGAGAGUGGAAAGCUCAUCAAGUGACGGUAACUACCCAGAAAGGGACGGCUAACUACGUG